rnacentral:piRNA from 1 species
UGCAACACAGGUUGUCCUAAUGCCAUGC